UCCCGGGAAACAACUUUCUCUGUGCCAUUUGAGGAAGGUAAAGUUGGUAACACAGGGUACCGUAAGGGGACCUGCGGGUUGGUCACUUAAAAUUAUUUGGUCCCGGGAGCAAGGUUCCUUGCUUUUUUCAAAUGUGGGGCCCUCUCGUGUCUCUGGCCCAUAGCGGAAGUAAAAUUUCGUACCACGUUUUCCUAUUCUUAAUUCUUUUCGCAAGGAUUCUUAAUGGAUAAACUUCGGGAUUGGCAAACUCGGCUUUUCUUGGCGGGGCCACAAGGAAGUAAAAGUCGUAACAAGGUUUCCGUAGGUGACCUGCGGAGGAUCAUUACCGAGAGAGGGGCUCCGCGCUCCCGAGGGCUUCGGUCCUCGACUCUUUACCCGAUGGCUAUCUACCUUUGUUGCUUUGGCGGAUCUUGGGGCUUCCCCGCGCCGACUUCCGGGUCAGCGAGUGUCCGCCAAAGGAUCAUCAAUAUUCGUUUUAAUCCUGACGUCUGAGUACAAAAAACAAUAAUAAAAACUUUCAACAACGGAUCUCUUGGUUCCAGCAUCGAUGAAGAACGCAGCGAAAUGCGAUAAGUAAUGUGAAUUGCAGAAUUCAGUGAAUCAUCGAAUCUUUGAACGCACAUUGCGCCCCUCGGUAUUCCGGGGGGCAUGCCUGUUCGAGCGUCAUUAUACCCCUCAAGCGUAGCUUGGUAUUGGGUUCUCGCCCCUGCGGCGUGCCCGAAAAGCAGUGGCGGUCCGGUGCGACUUCAAGCGUAGUAAAUUUGAUCCCGCUUCGAAAGAUCGCUUCGUGGCUGGCCAGAUAACCCCACCGCUUCUUUAAUUGACCUCGGAUCAGGUAGGGAUACCCGCUGACCUUAAGCAUAUCAUAAGGGGGGAAGAGAAACUACUACUUUCGGGGGGGUUAUUCGGACAGCGUAUGAUGACUCUUUGAAGCUUCAAAACAGGUAGGCUGCCACGGAAAAAUUAAUCCUAUCAGUAGGCCGGAGGAAUGAUACUCCUAAUGAAAUAUCCUUCAAAUCCAUUAAGAAUGGAUAAGCCUUUGGCCAAUAAAUCCUUCAACUGGUCCUGAAAUCCAGCAAGAAAAACCCCGCUGAACCUAAGCUUAUCAAUAAGGCGGAGAGAAGCCGUAUAUGAUUCCA
rnacentral:rRNA from 1 species